GACUCACAUUGGGGCCACCAGAGAAGUGCAAAGGACAGUGCUGGGGACAGGAGGGGCCCGUGUCUUGUGCCCAAAGUCCUCGGGGAGAAGCCAGCUACUACCAUCUCCAGCUACCCCUCCACCCCACCCAGUCCCCAGGAAGCCCGGAAGCCUGUUUUCUCCAGGGUGCAGUGAGUAGGAGGACUGAGAGAGGCCCGGAGCCCCUCAGCUGCUGCUGCUGCUUUCAUCCCGAUGCUGCCUUGACCUCCUAGCUCGGCUGAACACCCAUCAGAGCCCGAGCCUGAGCUUGGGUAUGGGGUUGUUGCUCCUGGAGUCUUUGCACCGCCCUCAGCCGCCCCACGCCGCGGCUCCCCUUCCUUACAGAAUGGUGCAGAAGACGCUACGAUUGCUGUGGUAACCACCUUCCACGCGGGCAGUGAUCCUGGUCGCCAUGGCAGUCACCUUCUGUCCACUGUGGGCUGUAGAGGGGCCUCGGAGAGAACUUUCAAGGUGUAUGACCUGCGUGUAUACAGAAGCUUUAGUCAUAAUCACCUAAAAUUAGGAACUACAUACCCUUCAGCUGACAAACGGAUAAACAGCGUGGUCCAUCCAUACAACGGAACGCCACUUGGCAACAAAAAGAAUGAACAACAUGUGACACCACGGACAAAUCUCAGGUGCAUUAGGCUAAGUGAGAGCAGCCAGGCUCCAAAGACUACAUACCGUGCGAUUUCCUUAAAUGACAUUUUGGAAACUGCUAUAGGGGACAGGAAUGGGUAGGUUUCCAGUCCCUCAGGCUCUUACAGAGAUUUUGAAGGGUCAGGGAAAGCUUUGGUCGGGGCUGUCAUUUGAGUUACAAGGGACCACCUCUUACCCCAAAUCCUAAGUUGCUUAAGCCAGUAACCAUAUAUUCUUUGCAUUUUUAUGGUGAUUCUGUAACAAUGAGUAGGACUGUAAAGGUGUGGAUGGUGAGGAGCUGGCCACUGUGUUCAAAGAUUUGCCAGCAUUUGAGUCUGGCAGCAGACAGCAAGCUUGGACAGGAAAAUCAGGACUCAACAGUGCAUGGUGGAUGAUGCAGGCUGCCAGGUCUGUGCUAUCUGUAUCCUGGGGUCUCCAAAGGGACAGGAGGAAGCAGACCCCAGGGAGUCCACGAUAUGAUCUGCUGGGAUAUCUGCUUUUCUGUCCAGAAAAGAUUAGAAUUCCUACCUUUUUUUUUUUAUAAGUUAUGACUGUAUAAAACAUAUAUGAGGUUUCCUCAAUAUUUUUGCUGAGUGUGUGUAGAAUUAAAAAAGGAAUAGAGAUCAUUACUACAGGAAAAGGGGACCCAUCAAAGGUUUCUGACCAGGGCUGUGACACGAGCAGAGCCGAUUUAGACGGAUGCAUCUGGCAGCCAGGGCUGUCACCAGUGCGAGAGGAAUGUGGCAGCGGUGGUGUAACAGUUAUUACCUGUAUAACCAGUGUAGCAAAGCACCAACCAAGCAGAACAGAGUCCAUGCGUUCACCAGCAGAACAGCACCUUGGCAACAGGGGCCAGAGGUCAGGGUGAAGGGUGCUGAGAUGUGAGCAGGGGUGAUGGCAGUUGGGGAGAAAAGGUGCCAGAUACAGGCACAUUUCAGAAGCGGAAUCAAGAGGACCUAGUAAUGACUGACUGAACUCUGAUGUUAGGGAGAAAUCGGUCACAGAGGUUUUGCUGCCAGAAUAGAUCAGAGGGGGAGGUCACUGAAAUGGGGAGCAGGGAGGGACAGGGAGGUUCAGGGAAGAUAAGUGUGAAGCAGUUGUACACAGAGGCAGAGGUAUCAUAAAUAAGUGACAGCAGUGGCAAUGAACGUCUUUGUAAUACCUCAGAUCUUGUGCUAGGUCGCAUGAUUUGACUGUAUCUUAAAUUGGUGCUACAAAGCAGACGUUGUUAACUGGAUUUUACUAAGACUCAAGGUGUUGAGUGCCUUGUGCAAGAAACUGGCAGAGCUGAGAUUUAAAAUCACACCCCCUUGACUCUUAAAGCCUGUUCUCUCCCAAGGAGGCAGACGCAGGUCCUCAGCACCGGCCUGACUAAAGUCCAAGCACGGGCCUUUAUCUGACCAGAGCCAGAAGCUGGCAGGACUGCAGGGAGCAAGGACAGCCAGCAUCACUGGGCCUGGCUUCUCUAGUCGCCUCCCUGUGGUUCUAGAAGAUUGGUUUAGGCAGAUCCCAGACACUUACUUUUUCUUGAACACCAAGAACUUGUUGUUUUGCAUGAUACAUUCUCGGUUGUUUGAGAUCUGCUGAAAGAUCGUCUUGCUGGUCUUGCCCUGGAAGAUGAUGUUCUCCUGCACCAGGGCCUUGGCGCGGCCCCGCACUGCAAUGCCGUAGGCCCGGAAUGAAUGGAUCCGGUUCUUUAUCACCUGGGAGAGACAGCCAGAGCUUGUCACACCCUGGGGACUCCCAGACUGGUUGGGGAGCCAGAUACCGUUGCCCCGGAGCUCCACCUUGCACUGGGCCUCGACCUUGACCCCACUCUGCCGGUUGCAGGAGAUGCUGUUGCUGGCCACGCGGGACAAGAGCUUGCUAGUGUCCAAGAGCCUUCUUUUAACAAGACUUCCUUCAUCAGCCCUCUACAGUGGCUCUAAUCAUCCUUCAGGUUUGGGAGCCCUGGAGUUAGAUCAACUCUGCCAUUGUAGCUGACGUGGUUGCUGGUGACGUGGGGCAGGCUGGACGACAUCAUCCACACACCACAGCCCUUAUUAGCUGGGAUGGUGAAAGGGGCUGGUCAUGGACACUGAGCAGCGGGUGAGGCAGCACCCAGCGUCUCCCCAAGAGGUGAAGCAAAGAUGGCACUGGCCUGGGAGACAAGAGUCCCUGGCAUGCUAAUGGCCUUGGACAAAUCACUUUAUGGCUGGAGGCUUCACCUUCAUACAAGAGGGUAACAACCAGGUGGGGAUGAAGCUCUCUGUUUCACCGAUCCCGUGGGUUACAAGGUGAUUUAUGAGAGGCUCUUGUAUUCUGAGAGGGACUGUGUGGCUGUGGCCUGAGAUCAACCUGUUCUUCAGGACGUCUUUGAGGCCCAGGGAAGACUGUAACUUUCUCAGGACCCACAAGCUAAGGAUGGAAUCUGGGCUUCCUGCCUCCCUGGCUGGGCUAGACCCAAGAUCCGUUCCCCCAGGAACAUGCGCCUCACCAUAGAUGGUGUUUCCUUCUAUUAGUCCUUUGCCUUCAUCUCCCACGACCACACCAUCUGAGUAGCCGAAGCAGAUGAGGUUGCUCCUGAGGACGGGGACUCCUCCUCGACGGAUGUCUACACCUCCCCACUGAUUCUCACGGAUGACAUUUUCUAUGGAGAGGCAGAAGAGAGGGUCAAGACCCAAGGACCACCCACACUGGCCAUGAGGACUUGGACAGCUGAGAGAAAGGACCUUCUGGACCAGGACACCAGGCCUUGCCUUGUCAACAAUCAGCAUCCUGAAUCUUGCUUGGUAUUUGGCUUUUCAGGGACUUGAGUGCUGUCUUCUUUCCUCAAGGGCAAGGUUUGUAUCUUUCUUGUGCUCUCUUAUAUUCCUAAUACCCGCUGUACCCAGUGGCCUUAAGGAACAACAACUAAGAAUAAACUGGCUUUAGAGUCUCUGGACCAAGGCCAGGCAGGGCUGCCUGUUCUGGGGCUGUUUCUAGGAGGGCUGAGGCAGAAUGCAGCCAUUCCCCCACCAGCCUGGGGAGGCACAAGCUGGUCCUUCUCAGGUUCAGCUCUGGACUGACCACAGCCUUCCUCUCCUCAUCCACUACCUCUCUGGGAGUGGGCCGAAGAGUCACAAGUCAGGGGGUUGGUGCUGGGAUACUGAUAUUCCCAAUACUACGGCUGGGCAGACUCUCAGUCUCCUGAGACUGGAGUGCAAUGGCCCAGGAGACCCUGUGUGACUGGCCCCUUCCCGCCUCUGUGACCCUGUCUGACUUGUGACUCCCUGCUCCUCCUUCACCACACCCAGUCACACCAGUAACCUCCCUGCUCCCCAGGCAUGCCAACUGUGUUUCACAGGUGGCCCUGCUUAGAAUUCCAGUUCUUUUCUCAGGCUUUGUCCUGUCACCCAGGUCUGGCCUUCUCAGAAAUGCCUGCCCUGACCACACAAUCCUAAAUACCCACAUAGUCCCUCUAUCACUAUAUUUUAAUUAAUUUCAAUAAAUUAUUUCAAUUAUUGCAUAUAAACAUAACAUUUUACAUAUUAUAUUUACAUAUAAUAUACAUUUAUGUAAAUAUAUCAGUUAAUAAUAUAUAAUUAUCUCUAGAGCACUUAUCACUCACAGAUACGCCUCUUGUGUGUGUGUGUGUGUGUACAUGUUUAUUUUCCCCUAAAAUGUCAGGAACCCAAGGGUUACUGUUCACAGAACUGUUCUGUUCACUGAUGUAUCCCCAUCUCCUGCAUACCUUGUGUGUUCAAUAAACAUCUGAUGAAUGAAGGCAGGAUUCAGUCAGAGGGAUUUACUGGAUCAACCUCUUUUUAUGUCCCAGGUAUGGCUAUGCUCCGUGCUGAGGCUACAGUGAUGUACCACACCGACUUGAUCCUUGUCUUAGCGAACUUACCGCCUUAUAUUAAAGGAGACUGACCUUACACAGAUCCCUAAGAAAUUAAAUAAGACAUCCCACAGAGCAUGCCUGCUGGGUACAGCGAGUGUUUAUGUGUACAGUGGGAGGUACGGGCAGGCUUCCCUGAGGAAGUGACAUUUAGGCUGAGACCCAAAGGAUCUGCUCGGCAGGUGUUGGCCAGGUGGAGGGGAAAUGGGGAUGGGUUUCCUGAGCAGGCAUAAGCCCAUACAAAAGCCAAGAGGAAGGAUUCAGUCUGUGUGCCAUAAAUGUUUCUGACAGUGUUAUGUGAGCCUUCCAGUGAGAUUCUGUAAGCAGCGGGCCUGGCAAAGAGCAGACAUUCCCUCCCUGUUAGCCCUCCUUGAGGCUGGCAUGGCCAGUGUACAGAACAGCAACGAAGACAGAAGGUGGCCAGGCUGUCGAGGUAAAGAACUGGGCAGGGGCAAGGCUGGGGAUGUUGGCUCAGCUGCUGGUUGCCUGGUUGGCCACGGCUCUAGGCAUUUCCCACCCUUACCUGUGAUGAGGCCUUUGCCAUUUUCGUUCACUGCUAUGCCAGCUGCACGGCCCUUAAAAAUGUGGUUCCCGCUAAAAUGCAAGGAAAAAGAGUAAGAUGAGACCACUAUCAUAUGUCAAAGCCAAUGCCUGCUCAAGGCAGAUGCCUGCUCAAAGCCAAUGCCUGCUCAAUGCCUUCUUUUGUGGCCUUCCCCAAACAACACAAGUCCACAGGGGCAUAAAGCAUUUCUGCAGUCGUAGAAGCCAUUUACAAAUCUUUAGUGAACUUGCAGACAACUUGAUCCAGAACUAAAUCAAUAACUAUGCCAUACAAUCACAAUGCUACUCGAGUUUCUGUGGCCUCUCUUGACUGUCGCUCACAUGCAAGCUGUUUGAAACGCAUGCCAUCGUGGUGCACAGGUGACAAGUCCACAACUGGUCAUGUCAAGAAUUCCUAGGAAGCUGUGUUAAGCUGCUUUGGGCAUGAUUUGUGCCCAAAGUUGAGUCAGAGUCUCUGCCUGUAAUAAGCCUACAAUCCCUGUUCAUAUCCAACAGCUACCCUUUAUCUUAUUUUCUGUUAAUCACCUAUCCCCUGAAAGACAACAUAAAAUAAUGACAUGCCUUAAAAAAAGAAAAGCAGAUUUUUUAAAAGGGGGUUUUGAGAGUAUCAGAGGAUGUGUAUGUGAGACCUCAUGGGCUGGCUGAGCCACAUGUGGACGAUACAGGAAAACAUGCUCCUGCUCAGAGAAACACGCAGCCCUCACUGCCAUGGAAAGGGCUUGCGAAUUAAACACCAGACGCCUGAGCAUGUUAAGGACA